CUUUAUUGUAGUUUUAGAUCUGUAUUGGGUUUGUAGUUUUCUAUGAAUUGCUAGUUAUAUUUGUAUGUUUCUCAUGCUUUUUUCUGCUUCUUGUAUUGAUUAGACACUGAUGAAGAGUUGAUGAAUUGCAAGACCAAGUUUAAAAGAAAGGAUUGCAAUGUUGCAAUGUUACAAAAUAAGCAAGUUGGAAAGAGAGAUGAAUGACACCCAAAGUUCUUUCCUUAAGAAGAUGAUUCCAUCUGGGAGAUUAGCAAGCUACAAAUAGAAGCAGAGGGUCACACGUCUUUGAAGAAUAAACGUGAUUCCUCCAUUCAAAAUCUUUUAGCUAGGUAUAACUUAGGGAUGAAUUUGUUCUUUUUGUAAACAAAACAAGUGUAUUUGGAUAUCAGAUUGAAUUUGUUGUUUUGGUGCACAAUUUUUAAUUUUUCGGUUUCAGCACAAUUAUAUGGAUAUUGAGUUGUUCUUUAUUUA